AUUGAACGCUGGCGGCAUGCUUUACACAUGCAAGUCGAACGGCAGCGCGGGCUUCGGCCUGGCGGCGAGUGGCGAACGGGUGAGUAAUGCAUCGGAACGUGCCCAGUAGUGGGGGAUAGCCCGGCGAAAGCCGGAUUAAUACCGCAUACGACCUGAGGGUGAAAGCGGGGGACCGAAAGGCCUCGCGCUAUUGGAGCGGCCGAUGUCGGAUUAGCUAGUUGGUGGGGUAAAGGCUUACCAAGGCGACGAUCCGUAGCUGGUCUGAGAAGACGACCAGCCACACUGGGACUGAGACACGGCCCAGACUCCUACGGGAGGCAGCAGUGGGGAAUUUUGGACAAUGGGGGCAACCCUGAUCCAGCCAUGCCGCGUGCGGGAAGAAGGCCUUCGGGUUGUAAACCGCUUUUGUUCGGGAAGAAAUACUCUGGGCUAAUACCCCGGGGGGAUGACGGUACCGGAAGAAUAAGCACCGGCUAACUACGUG
rnacentral:rRNA from 1 species